rnacentral:rRNA from 1 species
AUUGAACGCUGGCGGCAGGCCUAACACAUGCAAGUCGAACGAGUGGCGGACGGGUGAGUAAUGCCUGGGAAACUGGCUGAUGGAGGGGGAUAACUACUGGAAACGGUAGCUAAUACCGCAUACCAUCGGAUGUGCCCAGUGGGGAUUAGCUAGUAGGUGGGGUAAAGGCUCACCUAGGCGACGAUCCCUAGCUGGUCUGAGAGGAUGACCAGCCACACUGGAACUGAGACACGGCCCAGACUCCUACGGGAGGCAGCAGUGGGGAAUAUUGCGCAAUGGGCGCAAGCCUGAUGCAGCCAUGCCGCGUGUAUGAAGAAGGCCUUCGGGUUGUAAAGUACUUUCGGCAGGGAGGCGUUACCCGCAGAAGAAGCACCGGCUAACUCCGUGCCAGCAGCCGCGGUAAUAC